rnacentral:rRNA from 1 species
GACGAACGCUGGCGGCGCGCCUAACACAUGCAAGUCGAACGAGCGAGAGAGAGCUUGCUUUCUCAAGCGAGUGGCGAACGGGUGAGUAACGCGUGAGGAACCUGCCUCAAAGAGGGGGACAACAGUUGGAAACGACUGCUAAUACCGCAUAAGCCCACAGGUCGGCAUCGACCAGAGGGAAAAGGAGCAAUCCGCUUUGAGAUGGCCUCGCGUCCGAUUAGCUAGUUGGUGAGGUAACGGCCCACCAAGGCAACGAUCGGUAGCCGGACUGAGAGGUUGAACGGCCACAGUGGGACUGAGACACGGCCCAGACUCCUACGGGAGGCAGCAGUGGGGAAUAUUGCACAAUGGGGGAAACCCUGAUGCAGCGACGCCGCGUGGAGGAAGAAGGUCUUCGGAUUGUAAACUCCUGUUGUUGAGGAAGAUAAUGACGGUACUCAACAAGGAAGUGACGGCUAACUACGUG